rnacentral:rRNA from 1 species
ACAAGCGUGGAGCAUGUGGUUUAAUUCGACGAUACGCGAAGAACCUUACCUGGCCUUGACAUACUAAAAAGCUUUAAGAGAUUAGAGUGUGCUAGCUUGCUAGAAUUUAGAUACAGGUGCUGCACGGCUGUCGUCAGCUCGUGUCGUGAGAUGUUGGGUUAAGUCCCGCAACGAGCGCAACCUCGUGUUUAGUUGCUAACAGUUCGGCUGAGAACUCUAAACAGACUGCCUACGCAAGUAGGAGGAAGGUGAGGACGACGUCAAGUCAUCAUGGCCCUUACGGCCAGGGCUACACACGUGCUACAAUGGGGUAUACAAAGAGCAGCGAUACGGUGACGUGGAGCAAAUCUAGAAAAUGCCUCUCAGUUCGGAUUGUAGUCUGCAACUCGACUACAUGAAGUUGGAAUCGCUAGUAAUCGUAGAUCAGCAAUGCUACGGUGAAUACGUUCCCGGGUCUU